UACGAAGGGGGCUAGCGUUGCUCGGAAUCACUGGGCGUAAAGCGCACGUAGGCGGAUUGCUAAGUCAGGGGUGAAAUCCUGGAGCUCAACUCCAGAACUGCCUUUGAUACUGGCGACCUUGAGUCCGGGAGAGGUGAGUGGAGCUGCGAGUGUAGAUGUGAAAUUCGUAGAUAUUCGCAAGAACACCAGUGGCGAAGGCGGCUCACUGGCCCGGUACUGACGCUGAGGUGCGAAAGCGUGGGGAGCAAACAGG
rnacentral:rRNA from 1 species